GACGAACGCUGGCGGCGUGCUUAACACAUGCAAGUCGAACGGAAAGGCCCUGCUUUUGUGGGGUGCUCGAGUGGCGAACGGGUGAGUAACACGUGAGUAACCUGCCCUUGACUUUGGGAUAACUUCAGGAAACUGGGGCUAAUACCGGAUAGGAGCUCCUGCUGCAUGGUGGGGGUUGGAAAGUUUCGGCGGGUGGGGAUGGACUCGCGGCUUAUCAGCUUGUUGGUGGGGUAGUGGCUUACCAAGGCUUUGACGGGUAGCCGGCCUGAGAGGGUGACCGGCCACAUUGGGACUGAGAUACGGCCCAGACUCCUACGGGAGGCAGCAGUGGGGAAUAUUGCACAAUGGGCGGAAGCCUGAUGCAGCAACGCCGCGUGCGGGAUGACGGCCUUCGGGUUGUAAACCGCUUUCGCCUGUGACGCAGCGUGAGUGACGGUAAUGGGUAAAGAAGCACCGGCUAACUACGUG
rnacentral:rRNA from 1 species